GGGUUCCUGGAGGGCCUCUCCGGGACCCGAGGAAAACGACCUUUUCCCUUGCAGCGGCGGGGGAGGGCGAAGUGGAGGACUGCUGCUCGGUUCCGUAUCCAAAAGAGACCCAAGGCUCCAGGCAAAAUAGAUUGGACAUUUUCACUUUCUCAAGCCAGGGCCAGCGGUCGCCCAACCAGCAGCCACUGAGGGUGGUAUCGGGGCGCCCCUUCCCCUGGCAGCGUAUUUCAGCCCCCAGAGACAUCCCCCACCUCGGCCAUCCCCAGCGCCUUUGCAGGGACAGCAGCACAACCAUAGCAGAGGUCUUGGGCAUCCUGGAAAUAACGUGCUGGUGAUCUGGCUCAGAAGUGCACGUUGGCCCGCGCGUGCGGGGAGCUGAGAAGCAAGAGAUUGGAACUUUGCACGUGUCAAGCAAGGUUUGGCCUGCUUUGAAGACAGUAAUUUCAGAGCCACUCCGGCCUCUGCGUCAAAAGCGGGCAUCAGGGCAGUGGUGGGGCGGCAGGGGAUCCUGAGACCUCCCAUGCCCUCUCUUUGGCCCCGGUGCUUCUGGGCUUCAAAAUGGUUAAUUGAAAAGAACGGAGGUCACAUGACAACAUGAGUAUAUCCCCCAAGGAAGCCUACCUGUCUAUCCCCAGGUACACACACAAACACACGCACACCUAUGAUCCACAGGGGUGACUGCAGGACAUUAACUUCCAACCCCUUCCCAACAGGAAUCUGAACCAGCAGACAAAGCACCGUCGGGUCCUUGCUGCAACCUCUUCCCCCCACCCCCUUUGAUG
rnacentral:lncRNA from 1 species